rnacentral:rRNA from 1 species
AACCUUUAGCCAAACAAGCAUUAAAGGCAACACCUGCCCAGUGAACAAUUAAACGGCCGCGGUACCCUAACCGUGCAAAGGUAGCAUAAUCAUUUGUCUAUUAAUUGUAGACCUGUAUGAAAGGUAGAAUGAGGAUCCAACUGUCUCUUAUAAUAAAUCAAUUAAACUGAUCUCCCAGUACAAAAGCUGGAAUAAACACACAAGACCAGAAGACCCUGUGAAGCUUAAACUAAUAUAUUAAACCCUAUAAUACUUACUUUCGGUUGGGGCGACCUUGGAAAAUAAAAGAACUUCCAACGAUAUGGCUAUACACCAUACACAGACCGACAGGUCAAACAGACCCAGUAUAACUGAUAAUUGAACCAAGUUACUCCAGGGAUAACAGCGCCAUCUUCUUCAAGAGCCCAUAUCAAAAAGAAGGUUUACGACCUCGAUGUUGGAUCAGGACAUCCCAAUGGUGCAGCAGCUAUUAAGGGUUCGUUUGUUCAACGAUUAACAGUCCU